rnacentral:lncRNA from 1 species
CUCGAGUGGAUUUCCACGCGGAAAGGAUGUUGGCGGUCCCGGUGACCUGCGGAGACACGGUUGGAGCCACCUUUCUCGAUACUCAGCCGCCUGCGUGGGGACUGAUGCUGGUGGAAGCAGGCUCUCAGGGACACACACCGGCCACACUUCUGGAUGCUCAUGGUGGUUUUAGGAGGGCCCUGGCUGAGCACCUCAUGGAUUCCUGCAGCCUGGAUGAAGACAGGAGACAGAGGACCGAUGCUUCCUGCCUUUCUCACUGA